CAGAAAGCUAUAAACACACAACACUUUCACUCAGAGUUGUAUGGAUUUUAGAAAACUUAGUCACCUACAGGAGGUAUACCACUUACUACUGCAGACUGAAGUUCUCCAAUACCAAGGGCAGGAACUGUCAAUACCACCAUCUAGCAGCAAUCUAAAAGGGCCACUCUGGACUGCCAGAUGCUACUUCAGGAGCUAAUUAACCCAUAUUGACAGGCUGUAAUAUCAAAUACAGCUAUUUCUGGCCCACAUAAUUUCCAAGAAACAAGUAAUCUUGAAUUCAAACUGUGGUACUAUCAUGUGUUUCUAAUUGUUGCUUGUGUUGCUGCAAAAAAAACCCAACCAACUAACCAAACAAAAAAUCCCAACCCACCUUUCUAUAUCCCCUAUUAGGAGCCCAGGCCAUGCUUUAACACUAUGGACCUUGCCAUAGAAGCCAGAGUCCUAACACUUAACCUGUUGAAUGUAGUCACAAUUCAACCUGAACACAAGAUAACAUGGCUAAGUGUGAUUCCCAGAGGAAAAAACAGCAGCAAUACAAAGCAACACAGUACUGAUGCAGACCUUAAGCACUGGAGUGCAAUAAGAUAAAGUGAACAAACCAAACUUACUGGACUUCAGCUGCAAAGCCGCUGGUGGAGAUGGGCAUAAAAAAAGCAGCCAUGAGUCCUCGAUGGAGCCCCCACAACUAGACUUUUCUGGCCAAAUAAGUUAUCCAGCUAUCAUUCUAGAUCUCAAGUGUUACCUAUACAGUUGACUACAAAGCAAGUUACUCUUUAUAAACAGUUUAAUUCCCGUGAAA